rnacentral:rRNA from 1 species
CCUACGGGUGGCAGCAGUGGGGAAUAUUGGACAAUGGGCGAAAGCCUGAUCCAGCCAUGCCGCGUGUGUGAAGAAGGCCUUCGGGUUGUAAAGCACUUUCAGUGGGGAAGAAAGCCUUGGGGCUAAUACCCUCGAGGAAGGACAUCACCCACAGAAGAAGCACCGGCUAACUCCGUGCCAGCAGCCGCGGUAAUACGGAGGGUGCGAGCGUUAAUCGGAAUUACUGGGCGUAAAGCGCGCGUAGGCGGUCUGAUAAGCCGGGUGUGAAAGCCCCGGGCUCAACCUGGGAACGGCAUCCGGAACUGUCAGGCUAGAGUGCAGGAGAGGAAGGUAGAAUUCCCGGUGUAGCGGUGAAAUGCGUAGAGAUCGGGAGGAAUACCAGUGGCGAAGGCGGCCUUCUGGACUGACACUGACGCUGAGGUGCGAAAGCGUGGGUAGCAAACAGGAUUAGAUACCCCAGUAGUC